GUGACAGCAGCCGCGGUAAUACGGAGGGGGCUAGCGUUGUUCGGAAUUACUGGGCGUAAAGCGCACGUAGGCGGCUUUGUAAGUUAGAGGUGAAAGCCUGGUGCUCAACACCAGAACUGCCUUUAAGACUGCAUCGCUUGAAUCAUGGAGAGGCGGGUGGAAUUCCGAGUGUAGAGGUGAAAUUCGUAGAUAUUCGGAAGAACACCAGUGGCGAAGGCGGCCCGCUGGACAUGUAUUGACGCUGAGGUGCGAAAGCGUGGGGAGCAAACAGGAUUAGAAACCCCCGUAGUCC
rnacentral:rRNA from 1 species